GCCCGCUUGGCUAAGUGGUAUAGCGUGUCACUAGUAGAUGGGUUACGGUACCGAAUUCCCUCCAUUCUAGAUGCCAUGACAAGAUCAGCGGUUCGAUUCCGCUAGUGGGCA